UNUCUUAUCUUUUCGUCAGCUUUUUCUUUAAUAUUUCGUUAAAUUAUAUACAAAAAAAACUUCAGAUAUCCAUCUAGAUUUAUCAAAUAUUUAAUUUAGUACUCUUUAAUUUUAACUUUAUCACUGAUUUAAUAAAAAAAAUUAGUGAAAUCAACAAUAAAAAUAUAAAAAUAAAAUCAUAGAAUAUUAAAUUAAUACACUUUAAAUCCUAUAGUAUUAAAAAAAAGAAAAUAUAAAACUACUUGGGAAGUAUUUGAGAUUUU
rnacentral:lncRNA from 1 species